GUGCUCCCCCGCCAAUUCCUUUAAGUUUCAGCCUUGCGGCCGUACUUCCCAGGUGGCAGGCUUAAUGGCUUCCCUGCGGCACUGGGACAGCGCGUAGCCGUCCCAACACCUAGCCUACAUCGUUUACAGCUGGGACUACCGGGGUAUCUAAUCCCGUUCGCUCCCCCAGCUUUCGUCCCUCACCGUCGGGCGCGUUUUAGUCGGCCGCCUUCGCCACUGGUGGUCCUCCCGGGAUUAUAGGAUUUCGCCCCUACCCCGGGACUACCGCCGACCUCCCUCGCCCCCAAGCCGAAGAGUAUUCCCCGCAGCCCAACGAUUGGAUCGCCAGAUUUAACGGGGAACUUUUUCGGCCGGCUACGGACGCUUCAGACCCAAUAAUCGUCCCAACCACUCGGGGAGCUGGUAUUACCGCGGCGGCUGACACCAGACUUGCCCUCCCCUUAUUCACCUGGCUAGUUAAACCGGGCAAAAGCCAUCCUCAGCGGACGGCACUCGGAGUGACCUCGUCACGCUUUCGCGCAUUGCGAAGUUUUCGCGCCUGCUGCACCCCGU
rnacentral:rRNA from 1 species